GUGCUCGCUUCGGCAGCACAUAUACUAAAAUUGAA
rnacentral:snRNA from 1 species